rnacentral:rRNA from 1 species
CUACGAAGGGGGCUAGCGUUGUUCGGAAUCACUGGGCGUAAAGCGCGCGUAGGUGGACUAAUCAGUUGAGGGUGAAAUCCCGGGGCUCAACCUCGGAACUGCCUUCAAUACUGUUAGUCUUGAGACCGAGAGAGGUGAGUGGAAUUCCUAGUGUAGAGGUGAAAUUCGUAGAUAUUAGGAAGAACACCAGUGGCGAAGGCGGCUCACUGGCUCGGUACUGACGCUGAGGUGCGAAAGCGUGGGGAGCAAACAGGAUUAGAAACCCUAGUAGUCC